AAGAGGCUGGGGAUGGACUGUCAACAUGUAGUCCUGAGGAUGUGAUGCUUUGACAGGAAAACCCUAAGGGCACGUUUUAUAAGAUGUGUAAAGCUGAGAUGGGAGCACAGCCCCCAGUGAAGGAUAGUCCCCUUAGUUUGCUACUGACCAUAACCCUUACACUGAAAGGCUGCAAUGCAUCUGGCUAGCAUUAAGAAUGUAUUCAUAAUUAUGAAAUUCAUUUUGCCUUUUUCAGUGGAAAUAGAGAAGCCAAGAGACAGAUGGACAUUGGAAUGCUCUGGAAGGUGGCAUAUUGUUUUAUGUCAAAGGCUCAUGCUCAACUUUGUAAGGAAGCAUGGUGCCCCUAAGUUCAGGAGGAUGACCUGUUUUGGAAUAUCAAGAUGUGGCACAGCAGUAGAACAAAGUUAUUUUGUGCUCUGUUUGCCUGCAAGAUUUGAGGUAGUUGGAAGCACCCUUUGCAAAAACACCUUGCCUGAGACUGCAAUCACACCUAUUAAGAAUUAGUGAUUUCAUCAGCUAUAACUUAGAAAUACUUGCUAAAGGUUUCAGAACACUGAACACUAUACAGACAAGAAAAUGGAGUACCUAUCCAUCAUGUUACUGCUAAUGUAUCCUCUUUUUCCAUUAAAAAAAUUGAACUGUCCCCAUCAAAUGGGGUUGUGCCCCUCUGUGCUUUCCCUAUUAAUUCCUCUCGAACUUGGAGGUCUUGGCCUAAUUAGUUUUUAAGAGCAUCACAAGGUUUUCCUAUUUCCCUCCCCCCCCCCCCCCCCCCCAAACAGGGAAACAGCCUCCAGCCAGCAGUUUGCUUCAUGACAACCCCCCAAAUUCUCCUCUAAGCAGCACUGAAUGAGGCAGUGGUGUUUUGGAGGGCAAAGUGACUGUGUAAGUAAUGACAACAAAACACUCAUUUCCUUCCUACCAUAUUGUAGUCUUGUGCCAGAGGCUCUCUGCUGUUAUGGUUCCUACAGUGAGUUGGUCAGGAUUGUUUUCUUUCCUCUCUGUGGUGUGGAAGCUGACACAGGCACUGAGAGCACCACAGGGGCACUUCUCAGCUCCCUGUUCUCACUAGGAUUCAAAGUCCAACUCGGCUGAUUGCCCUGGGCUGAAGCAUAAAGACAGACAUGCAAAGAUUAGAGGAGUUGUGUGCAGACAGCAGCUUUAGAAAUCUAGCUCAUCAUCUAGCCUGCCA